rnacentral:rRNA from 1 species
GAGGAGCUUGCUCCUUGGAUCAGUGGCGAACGGGUGAGUAACACGUGAGCAAUCUGCCCUUGACUCUGGGAUAACUGCGGGAAACUGUAGCUAAUACCGGAUACGACCUGAAGAGGCAUCUUUUUGGGUGGAAAGAAUUUUGGUCAGGGAUGAGCUCGCGGCCUAUCAGCUUGUUGGUGAGGUAAUGGCUCACCAAGGCGACGACGGGUAGCCGGCCUGAGAGGGUGACCGGCCACACUGGGACUGAGACACGGCCCAGACUCCUACGGGAGGCAGCAGUGGGGAAUAUUGCACAAUGGGCGCAAGCCUGAUGCGGCAACGCCGCGUGAGGGACGACGGCCUUCGGGUUGUAAACCUCUUUUAGUAGGGAAGAAGCGUAAAAGUGACGGUACCUGCAGAAAAAGCACCGGCUAACUACGUGCCAGCAGCCGCGGUAAUACGUAGGGUGCAAGCGUUGUCCGGAAUUAUUGGGCGUAAAGAGCUCGUAGGCGGUUUGUCGCGUCUGCUGUGAAAACCCGAGGCUCAACCUCGGGCCUGCAGUGGGUACGGGCAGACUAGAGUGCGGUAGGGGAGAUUGGAAUUCCUGGUGUAGCGGUGGAAUGCGCAGAUAUCAGGAGGAACACCAAUGGCGAAGGCAGAUCUCUGGGCCGUAACUGACGCUGAGGAGCGAAAGCAUGGGGAGCGAACAGGAUUAGAUACCCUGGUAGUCCAUGCCGUAAACGUUGGGAACUAGAUGUGGGGGCCAUUCCACGGUCUCCGUGUCGCA